AGUGUUCACAACUGAAACCCCAGUGGGCAUU
rnacentral:piRNA from 1 species